CAUUAUCGUGUGCCGCAGCAGCAGCCGAGCCUGUAGCUGAGCAAGCGUGCAGCGCAAGGAACUGCACACGCAGGCUGAGCAGUUCGGCCAUUCCUCUCGGUGCGCCUCAUCCGCUGUGCCGGUGCAUGGAAGAAGCCCCGCUCACACUCGCGGGUCACAUCAUUGUCGUUCUCUCUCACACGCACGCAUACACAACAUUCCCCGCACCCGCUCGCCACACCAUCACACGGAGAUACGCACACGCACACGCGCACGCGCACCUCCUGUCUAUACUCGCCUCCAGCAUUUUUCUUUUCCUUCCCGUUUUCGUGUCUGCUUCGCUGCAGACCUUUGCUUGCUUGUGUAGUCCUCGCUCUCGCUCUCGCGCGCGCGCGUCGCUGCUUUUCCUCGAACGCCACGGUGCUGCCCCCGCCCGUCCAUCUGUGCGUGCGUGCGUCGUCGCUGCAUCGCCUCUGCCUCGUGCCCGCUCGCCCUCUUUAUUCGUCUUUACGGCGCUUCGCGGCGCUGCUGCGUCACGGUGCCGUGCGCCGGCACAUGCGCACGCACACACGCGCCCACCCUCAUCCUUCGCCUUCAUCAUGGCUUCCUAUUGGUGGCCGCUAGGUGGCUUGACCGUCCCGGCGGAGCCGAAAGGGUCGGCGCCCGCAGGCGCACCAACGGCCGCAGAAUCAGGGCCUCCCAAAGCCCCAUCCGGACGGACAUCAGUGGCGGCGGCGCACAACAGCAGUGUCACCGCAGCGUCCGCCGCCGAUGCGCGCCAUCUUGCCCGGGCUGCCUUCCAUACGAGCCUCGAGGGCCUCUUGGUGGAGUCGACGAAGCACCGCGGUCUUGCUGUCCUGCGCGACGCCGUCCUGGACACCCGCCAGCGCCAGUACGACCCGGCUAGCCUUUUUGAGACUCUCUGCAUUGCGUGCACAUUGUUGGCGGAGCGCAGCUCUGGCGGGACUGCGGUCACGGCGCGCAGGCACAGCAGCAACGCAGCACAUCCUAAAACCUCAAGCCCUGCCGCGAGAGGAAGCAUGUCACGCAGCAGUAGCGGCGCUGCCCUGUACACCAUGGGCAGCGGCAAUGAGCCGCCACAUGUACCGGUCAUCGCAACCGAGGCAGCAACUCUGCUGGCGGCCGGCGCGCAUGCCAGCUCCGCGGCGUCUCCGCCGCACCCACUUCACUACCGCCACAACGCGGCAUCUCGGGAACUGCUGCUUCAGUCCAUCGGCGACAUUGGUAAGCUCAUUGCUCUGGCGCUGUUGCCUGUGACGCAGCAGGUCGGUCGUCGUGUGGCAGACCUGGUGCGCGCGCUUGCUUUCCAGCCCUCGCCGACACCGUCUGUGCAACCUUCUUCGCUAGGCGUGCAGCUGCCAGCGCGAGCUGCCUUACCGCCCCCUACCUGGACGACAAGCGCAUCGGUGGCGCCAUCCAGUGCGCCGCGGUCCCAUAGCACCGCCCCACGGGACAAGGAUCCCUCCAGCGGACUCUUGGAUGCCAACUGCGGCGGCGGUGCCAUGUCAUCCGCCGCAGUCACAGCAACUGUUUCCGCUGCCGGACCCGUGCAUCUUGUGCACGACGAUCCGGUCCUCGUCCGUCUUCUUCAGAUGACUGCGUCAGCCGCGUCGAGAUGCCCUCUCGGCAGCAGCGCGCUCGCAGAGCUAUACGGCGUACUCUUGCUCUUCUACAGCGGCGUCGCGCCGCAGUCCAUGCUGGAGGCGACGUGCGAGGCGACGCUGACGCACCACAUCCAUGCCGUGCUGGCCGCGCUGCAUGACAGCGGGGCAGGAGACGACGGCGUCGUCUCAGCCAGCGCGCACGCAAGCGACGACGGCCUAGUGCAUCGCAACAGCUCGUCCGUAACGCUGACGGCAUCCACGUUUGCGGCCCAGCUGCAGGGCGUCGCCUUCAUCAAGGACGUCUGCCGCCUCAUGGUCGGUGCACGCACGCGGUGGCUGCACCUCAGUCCUUAUAGCACCAGCACUCCCGCUCCCGGUGGCGCGGCAGGUGGUGAAGGCGCAACGGCGGUCAGUGGCAGCAACCACAGCAACAAGCGAGGUGCGGCGGAGCAUCACAGGGGCAGCACGCCAUCGUCUAUGGCCGGCAUCACCGCCAGCGUCGCGGCUGCCGCAGCGGAUGCUAGUCGGCAACGGGAUCAGGAGCAGCAGCAACUCUCGUUGAGCACGUCGCUGAUGUCGAAGUCGAUGCUCGGAUCACUCGCAGCCUUGUCACCGGGCAUCCAGCAUGAGCUGGAUGCCCAAUCAGCAGCAGCAGCAGCCGCAGCGGGAGCUGUAUCAGGUGCCGGCGGUCCUGGUGGUGCAGCAGAGCUUUCCUCGUUAUCCUCCUUAGCGAUGACUAUGCCGGCGUGCGCCGCAAUGGAGGCGGUGCCGGAGCGACUGCGGCUCUUUCUCAUGCGCGCCGUGACGCUGUUCUUCAAGGAGCAGGCCAAGGCUCUGGCGGCCCCAGCGGUGGCGACGGCCGCUGCUGGCGGAGGAGGAGGCACAGAUGAAGGUGCGAGCAGAAGCUCAGCUGUCACAUCGGCCGCCGCGGUAUCCAUGCAGAGCCCGCUGUACGCGCAGUGCCUCAACGACUGCGUCUUCUCUGUCGCACUGUGGGGUCUGCAUGAGAUGGGCAUCGCAGUGUCCAUGCAACCGCCGCCGGCCCUGUUCGUGGAGGUGCAAGAGCAGCAGCAGCGCGAUGGGCCCUUUAGCGCGCCACCUUGCUCGCUGGAGGUCUUCAUGUGCACACAGCAACUUGUCCUCGUUCCCAUCAGCACGCACCUUCACAGCAUGACAAACUCGACCCAGGUGCUUCUUGAGGCGCAUGAUCGGCUGCUGCAGCGGCUCUGCAGGCGCCGCAAGCCUUGUGCAACGUCGUCGUCGCAGUGGCUCUGCAGCAGCGGCGAGGCAUCAGGAGGCUCGCUGAUGAGCAGCAACGAUGCCGAGCGACUGUCACAGGCGGCGACGGUAGUGCUGUCUCUCUGGCGCAAGACCCUUACGAGUGCGACUCUGUUGUGGGAACUGCUGCAGCUGCGGUCCAUGCAAGGCGGCCACAAUGCUGAUGAAGUCGCAGCAGGCAUGUCGGUGGACACCGAAGCGUAUCGUAGCAGCGGCUGGUACUCGAAUGAAGAGUGGCGGGCCAGUUCAGAUGUGAAGCGCAACGGUUACAACAGUGACAGCAGCGGCACUGCGGCGCCCUCGCAGCGAUGGUCACAGUCGGCACAUGACAGCUCCCUGUAUCCGCAGCGGCCUUCGCUCGCGCUCUCACGCUCGCGCGACAACCUCACGAGCAGCCAAAGCGCGCUUGACGGCAGAAAUGACAGCGAGAAGGAUCGCGCCAGCACACCGCCCGUUCCGGGACUCGGGAACGCCGCGGCGGCCGGCGAGGAGGGUGGCACUGGCGUGGAUGCCACGACGGUGCCGUUGCUGGUCCGCCUCGUGCUGUCCGUACUGGCACUGGUGGUGUCCCACAUGCAGCUCCAUGCCAACAACAUCAUGCAGGCGAGCGCGGACGACAAGAGCACCGAUGACAGGCGCGGAGGCGGCGACGGCGAGGAGGCAGAGGGCGCGGCGUUUACAGGGCCGCUUCUACGGCCCAGCACUCCCCCACGCUUCCUGUCCGCCGGUGACUCCGAGGAUGACAUCGUGGGCGAGCCAUCUCUGAAGCUCUCGCCGCUGCACAUGGGGCCGGCAGCCGCGAACGCCGUCGGCGCAGCGGCGGCGGCGGCGUCAAUACCGCUCUGCUUGUGUGUAGCGAAUGCAUCCAUAGUGUACCAGUGCUUCACCGAAGUGCUCAACGGUCUCACCGCCUUCGGCCAGCUCUUUUCGCAGCUGGUGGACACGCAGCUGAUGCCGUCGGUGGCCGCGGCAGACAAAGAACAGGUGCUGUGCCGGUGUCGUGAGUGCUUCCUGGUGCUACACCCGCACCUUCUCCACUGCGAGCAGCUCUGCCUGCGCCACCUCCGCUACGAAGAGGACGUGCUGCCGGUCGUGUUGAAAGCGACCAGUUACUGGGUACAGGUCAGCUGUGUCCUGCAGUUGCCUGAGCAGCGCGACGCCCACUUGGCAGCGCUCGUGGACGUGCUGCGGACACAGGACCCGGUGGAUGGUCACCUGGUCGCCCUGGCCCCGCCAACCGCCUUGGGCAUGUCGGACACCGCCUCUCCCACGACGGCAAUGCUGCUGGAAGCGCUUCUCACGCUGAACAGCGCGUGUGCGGCAGCUGAGCCGAUCGUGCCGGGAUCCGUCGCCGCCGCUGCACUCAGCCCCAGCGGCGAUCGCGACGCUGCGUCGCCGGGCAGCGGGGGUGGCGUCAGGGGGAUUCGACAGUAUGCCCUCAGCAUGUCCAGCUGGGGCGCUGAAUGGCUGCGGCGUCGUGGUCUCACGACCUCCUCCUCGGCCCGUGGCAACACGGCAUCACCAGCGCAUGCGGGCGGCGGCGGAAGCGGGAGCUGGACCGUGUCCCCGUCCCAGUCGCAGAUGAGCACCACCCCUGCAGGCGAACGAAGCGGGGCCGGCGCACGGCCGUCGUUGGCCGCACCCCCGCGCAUCGGAACGCCGACUCUUAUAGCGGCAGCGUCACGUAGCAAGCAGCAGCAGCAGCCCGCGUCGGCAUCUUGGGCGAUACCGUUGGUGCUCACAUCGCACGGCUGGCGCUCGCCAGCCGUGCAGCACGCCGUCAUCCUUGGCGUGUGUCGCCUGCAGCACAAGCUCUUUAUCAUGAAGACGCUUCACGUCAUCGCCAACACCCUCGGGGCACAGCUAAAGAGCGGGUGGGCUUUGCUCGCGCGCGGUCUCGCUGUGACGGAGCCUCUGCUGCACAUGCUCAAGCGGCUGCUGUCGUGGAUCGAGGAGUCUGCCGAGGAGCAGGAGCAGCAAGAGCAGCUACUCAGUGACGCCCUGCACCUGCGUGACGCGCUGCGUUCCCUCUGCCUCCACAACGCUUGCCAGCUACCCUACUCUCAGUUCGAAAUCUUUUUCACAGAGCUCGUGAGCGCAACUGUGGCCUUAGGGGCAGCAGCGCCGUCACAGCAGCAGGACGGAGCGGCACUAGCCUUCAACCACUGGGGCUGCGGGGAUCUGCACGCGGCGGCGUGCGCCGCCGCUUCCGACCGGCUGCCUCGCCACCACCCACAGGGCUGCGGCGGGCAGUGGGUGCUCACGUCAGAGUGCCUGAGCGUGUCGCUAUUAGCCAUGUUGCCCUUCAUAGAGCUGCGGUACACUGACGCGACGAACGGCGUAGCAACUGGAAAAGUAGGGGACGGCAGCGUUGGGCGCGAUCAGCCCGGUGUUCAAGUGGUGCAGCUGCAGCACCAGCGCACCGGUGCUCUUGCUAGGGCACUGUAUCUGUGGGAGCUGGAGGCGAGGGUGUGCCGCUACGUAACGGACCACCAGCACGUGGAGGAAUGGGGAAGGGGACUGCUGACAACAAUGAAGACGCACAAGCGAGCACUGCUGGCGACCACGGCGUCGAGUUCCGUCGAACCAGCCGCAACCGACCCAGACACGCCACUGGGGACUGGGAGCCUCUCGCAGGAGGAGACCCGCACGAUCGAGCUGGUGCUCUCCACAGUCGUCGGCCACGUUUCUACGGUAGCCGUGCAGAUGUGUCGAUCAUCAUCGCGGCGUCGGGUUGCGGCAGUGACGAGUGCCGGAGGCGAAGGUGGCAGCCCGUUGAAUGACACUGGCAGCGCAGCGCCGUCCCCCUCGUAUCAAGCCGUGCAGAGCGCCGCCCUCACGCUCACCUCUGGCCCCUUCGCCGCUGUGCCGCUCACGCAAGUUGCGAACGCCCUCUUCGCCGCCAGCGCUGCCUCUGGGUCUUCUCUGGGUACGAGUGGCGCGAAGGACACCCUCGCUGGGGUCGGCAGCGGCGGUCGGCUGCCUCUCUUGCCGUUUGUGCAGGCGGACGCCGCGCAAAGCAUCGCACGGCUGCACGCUGCCGUGCAUCGGUCCUCGCAGGCGAUCGCCCUUCACACACCCGCCGACGACAGCCGCAGCAGCGUCGCCACAGCUCCGCCGGCGGCCACCGCGUCUGUCCACCUCGCCCCGCUAGAGCAACUCCUGGCGAGCCCUUUCGCCCUGCUCGACCGCGUCUAUGGCGAGUGGCAGCUGCAGUGUGCUGGCUCGCCGAGCAGAGGCGGUGGACAAGGCAGACGAUCAGCAGCGGCUAACGCGGCGGAGCAGCAUGAGCUGGAGGGUCGCAUGUCAUCGACUCCACUUGACACGAACGAGGCUCGGGAACUGCCGCAGAGGGGGGAGAGGUCCGCUAGCUCGGAAGCCUUAGAGGCAUCUGCGGCGUUCUCUGUCGUUGCCGGCGCAGUCCCGCAGCUGCUGGGCAACGCCGCCGCCGCCGUGCUGAUGGACGUUGUGAAGAUUGUGCAGUCCUAUGGCGAAGAAAUUGAUGGCGCCGCCUGGGAAGCUAUCUUGUCCUUGCUGCAGCGAACCGCCAUGGCGGCCAAGGAGCAUGACAAUACUCUGGCAGGCAUGAGUGUCGGUGCGGCUGGUGGGAGCGGCAGUCACACACAAAGCAGUGUCAGCAUGGACAGCAUCGGUGGACGCAGCGCUAGCAGCACCGGCCUCCUCGGUAAGCCGGGCAUCAAGGCGCCCACCAGCGCCGCCGGUGCCACCGUGUCUAGCAGCCAAGCCGUCGAGUCCCUCAACACCGCUUUUCGCGCGCUGGAGAGCAUUCAGCACAACCACAUUCCGCGCCUGAAUGCGGACGGUCUGCACCGUCUCAUCGUGUGUGUCGGCACCUUCACAGUGCACCGCGUCGACGGAGGGGCUGCCGGUGAGCGCAAGCUGCACACGAAUCUGAGCGCCGUGCAGCUGCUGUGGUCUAUCGCGGACUACCUCGCUGCCUUUGGCAGCGGGGCAGACGAGGAGAUCGAGCGCGGCGGCGCCUACAACAACGCCAACGGAGGUAGCAGCGGCACGGUGAAAGCCACGGCCGCCGGGUGUGCAGGUGCGGCUGCCGGCGGAAUGCGAGGAUCACCGACGCGAUGUUCCGAUGAUGCUUUGGUCGCACAGCACCAGCAGCAGCAGCAGCAACACGACCGCCUCUGGUGCUCGCUCCUCUGGCAGCUACGUAACGGCUGCCUCGAUGAUCGGCAGGAGGUGCGCCAAUCCGCGCUGCAGACGUUCUUCGCACUCGUGCAGACGUACGGUUGGCGCUUCUCCGCAGCGUGCUGGCGAUGCGUACUACAGGAUGUAUUGUUGCCGCUCAUGGAAAUUGUUGCAGUGGCGACAGGGCUGUGCGCGACCCCUCCGCCAUCGCCGCCUGAGCUGGGAGAAGACGGUGCAACAGCCGCAACCGGUGCGGCGGGGGAAAGAGGGGCGCAGGACGCGACAAGGCAGCGGCUGCUCCGUAGCUUCAUGGAUCACCCGCCUCAGCUAGAGGAGGUGCGCGCUGCUUUGUUCGAUGCGGGGAGCCGCUUGUUUGUCACCCACUACGCGCGCAUGCAGGCGGCCGCUACCGCGCUGUCGUCGCCCUCGUCGGCGCGAUCGCGGCGUCCUCAGCUGCCCGUCACUGAGGAGGACAAGGACGAUGCAACGCAGGUGCUGGAGCGCUUCCUGCGACUGUGUGGCGACGUCUGCGUGGUGCUGCGGGGCACAUCCGGCGAGCAGGCCGCCGUGGCUGCCGUGCACGCUCUCCACGGGCUGCUCGUCGAGAUGCCAGGGAAAGGGCUGCACGCGCACGGGAUACACCUCGCCUGGAGUGCUCUUGAGCGUCUGAUCCUGCGCGGCGGCGGCGGCGGCGAUGACUGCGUUGAAGGACCACUUGCGGGUGUGACAGAAGGCAUAGCGCCAGAACCCGACACCCAGAGAAGGGCAAAACAGUGCACCAACGCGGUAGUGGCGGCCACGGUAGCCGCGGUCUGCGACAGCUUCCGCCUCCAGCGCCUCGCGGCGGCGGCGCCGGUAGCCGCGGUCGGCUCCGCCACCGCCACUUCACGAAGCGCCGUGGAGCGCAGUCGCAACGCGACGGGUUUCAGCUCGUACUUCAGCAGCUGGGGCGGCGGCGGCGGCGGCAUAGCCACCACAGUUGCAGGGUCAACGUCACGUGCAGAGCUGCGGCACAGCGACCCCUCCUCUCCUGCCCCGUACUUUACUCGUCUGCUCUUUCUCUUGCAGGCUGUCACCCGCUGCCCGGCUGUUGUGAACUCGUACUACUUCCCGAGCAAGGCGCAGGCCACCCUGCUCGAGGGUUUAGCCGCGGUGUGGCCGACGCUGUCGAGUCGCGAGGCGCGGACGAUGUGGGGCGAGGUGCUCCUGCCGGCCUUUCCGCCAGCGGCGCGGCUGCAGAGCUUUGUUUUGCAGGACUCGCACGAGUCGGUCUCCAUCACGGUGGUGGACGACGCCACCGCCAACGCAGCAGCGACGGCAGCGGCGAGCACGCGGAUCCCGCUCAAGUCGGUAAUGCCUCCUGGGUCGCACCCGGGGUAUCUCGGCGCCGUCAUGGAGACGAUGCGCGGCUUGAUGCUGCGUCACAUGGGCGCGGAUGCUGUCGGUGCGACCGCUGCGAGGCGCAGAGGGCCCGACGGACUGCCGCCGGAUCCUGCAUCAGCCAACACGUCCGCUGCGGCGACUGAGGCACCAGCGAAGACAACCGACGAGGAUCGCGCGCGACUGGCGUUUAUGGCCCCCAGCACCGUGCAAGUCAGCGGCACACUCUUGCUGCUGCACCUCGCCCCUGCGGCGGUUCUAGAAGUGCCGCCGCGAUCGGGAAGCGUGCCCUUCAACCCCCCAGCGCUCUUCCUACAAGAAUGUGUCAACGUGUUGCAGUACACAUUGUGGGAGCCGGUGCUGGCGCGCACCCGGACGCCGCCACCUUCCGCUGCGGCUGUACAGUGCCGCCGGGAUGGUGUCGUCGCGCUCUGUCGCGUGUUUGAGCUGCUGCUCACCACCACCUCCACAGUGGUGCGGCACCUGCAUGCGACUGCAACGAGCGGAGCGGCAGCGGCAAGCGGGACCACCACGGUCCCAACGACAACGAUAACGCCGCCGCAUGUCACAGCGGCGUUGCAGUCGCUCGACUUGCUCGUGGGCACCCUCGGUGAGGUGGUUCACUUUGUGAUGGAGCGGUACGAGGAUGUAGUGUGCGCAACGGCAGCCGUCACGACGUUGACGAUCGCAUCGACUGCAGAGGGCACGGCACUGGCUCGGGUGGCACGGCGGAGCUUGUCGCUGUUACAGCGCUGGGCAUGCGCCAUCAGUGGCACACCUUCAGCGCGCUUAGCGCCUCCGUCGUGUGCCGCGACGCCGCACCACCAUCAGCACACUCGCAGCGGCAGUGAUGGCAGUUGCAUCAUGUCUCCCAGUGCGCAGGGCGCCGUCGCCCGCCACGAUGUGUGUGCACAGUCCCAGCCUGCCGACCACGCCACCGCACCAACAGCGGCUUCGCGCAGCAAGCUGCAGGAUGUAGUGCGAGCCUCCAUCGAAUCACGCAACAAAGCGAUCAUGGCACAGUUCGUGGGCAACCCCGACGACGCCAGUGCCGGCGCGCUACUCGUCGACACGCUUCGAGACAUGCUGCACGUUGCGCAGAGCAGCGCACGAGCAGACCCGCGCGCCGGCAGCGAUGCGGCGACGCAAAAUCUGAACACCAUGAUGCCGGACCUGCUGCGCCUCGUCGCAUGCAGCAGCCGUGAGCCGCACCGAUCCGCUGCGGCGAUCUCGCGAGAGCAGGAGAUGCGCGAGCUUCUGGCGAAUCUGCUGACGCUGGCUGUGGACAAACAGCACAAGCAGCUCGCCUGCCAAGCCGAAUCACGCGGCUGGAGUGGCUGUCGCGCAGACGACUACCGGCUCAACUCGGAUGCGGAAGAUCAAGAUGAGGGCACGUCUAUCAUUUGACUGCUUCGCGAACCGCGAGGCGUCGGUGCGCGGUUGUACGGACAGAGGGGAGGGAGAGCCUCGGUCUCGCCCUCCCCCCCCCGGUCCGACCCGCCCACCGUCCUCGGUACUCUUCCUUUCUCACUCUGUUUGUGCCGCCUGCGCAUACUUCCACUCCAGACUCGCGCAGACAUGUACGCACGCAGGUGGGCUGCCCUGCAUUCGUGCGUCAGUUG
rnacentral:misc_RNA from 1 species